AACGCGAAGAACCUUACCUGGGUUUGACAUACACCAGAAAGCUAUAGAUAUAUAGCCCCCCUUGUGGUUGGUGUACAGGUGGUGCAUGGCUGUCGUCAGCUCGUGUCGUGAGAUGUUGGGUUAAGUCCCGCAACGAGCGCAACCCUUAUCUUAUGUUGCCAGCGCGUUAUGGCGGGGACUCGUGAGAGACUGCCGGGGUCAACUCGGAGGAAGGUGGGGACGACGUCAAGUCAUCAUGCCCCUUAUGUCCAGGGCUUCACACAUGCUACAAUGGCCGGUACAGAGGGCUGCGAUACCGUGAGGUGGAGCGAAUCCCUUAAAGCCGGUCUCAGUUCGGAUCGGGGUCUGCAACUCGACCCCGUGAAGUUGGAGUCGCUAGUAAUCGCAGAUCAGCAACGCUGCGGUGAAUACGUUCCCGGGCCUUGUACACACCG
rnacentral:rRNA from 1 species